GUUGCGUCCAAAACCAUUGGGUGUGUACAGAAACAGUUGUAAGAUCCUUCUGUGUUAAUGCACUGGCCAUCAAUACAGCUGUUUGGGUCCUGACAUUCAUCCGUGUCAAAGCACUGGAGCUUAACAGGGUCAUAGUAUGUGCCUUGUUUGCAGUAGCACUCAUAACCUGGCUGUGUAUUCAAACAGAAGCCAUUUUUACAGAUUUCUUGUCCAAAGAGCUGGCAUUCAUCAGCAUCUUUGUAAUUCUCGGCAAGAAGCCCGUAAGAUGAUUCUCCAGAGGGAAUGAAGCCUUUCCCUUCAGGACACAAAUCAGUGAAUUCAGCAGUUCCAAAGACAGGGCAUGGGAAGAUUUCACAGUUAUCACCCCAGCCAGCACCCAAAGUACAGCAGCAUUCUUGUUUGGUUACAUUGGACGCAAGCACAUUGUCACAGAAGUUAGCAUCAUUCAGAUUGUAGUAGCACUCCUUCUUUCCAUCUUCAUGUUGAUCAGGCUCUAUUGGCAAUUCUGAUGAGGUACGGAAGCGACACUGUCCGGUCAUGGGAUCGUACUCCUGGUUUUCAUCAGAACACAGGCACAGGAAAGAACCAUCAACGUUUUCACAGAGGGCUUCGCCACAAACCCCGCUCAGCAUUUCACAUUCAUUCACAUCUGUACACCCUUGCCCAUCCUGUGAGUCCUGAUAGCCCUGGUAACAGAGGCAGCGGUAGGAGCCGUCCAUGUUUUCACAGAACCCGUGGCUGCCACACACUGUGCCAUUCACACAUUCAUCGAUAUCUUCACAGGUUCGGCCGUCUGCAGACACAGAAAAGCCCUGCUCACAUAUGCACUGGUAGGAACCAUCUGUGUUUAGACACUCUCCAUGAGGUGAACAGAGGUCAGAUCUCUCACAUUCAUUGAUAUCUUGACAUCCCCUGUUGGCUAUCUGCUGAAAACCAUCUAGGCAAGAGCAUUUGUACGACCCAUCGGUAUUCAUGCAGUUUCCUCCAAGGCAAAUAUCACUGUCUUGAAGGCAUUCAUCAAUAUCUUCACACUGAUCUCCAGUAGCAGACAGAACGUAACCUUGGCUACAAACACAUCUGAAAGACCCUUCUGUGUUCCUGCAGCGUCCAUUGACACACAGGGAUCUGUCUUGGCAUUCAUCUAUAUCUUCACACUGAUCCUCUGAUGCAGAGAGUUUGAAACCUUGGCCACAAAUACAUCUGAAAGACCCCUCAAUAUUUUCACAAUGUCCAUUUGCACAGAGAUUGCCAUAUUGACAUUCGUUUAUGUCAUGGCACUGUCCAUUCCAGCCUCUGAAUCCCACUCUGCAGGGUAUGCACUGGUAAGAGCCAGGAGCAUUAAUACACUGUGCAUCUGGACAAGUAGUUGGGGUUGUGCAUUCAUCAAUGUCUUCACAUUCACCUCUCCUGUUCAUCUGGUACCCACUGUCACAAUAUUCACACCUAUACGAGCCAACAGUAUUUAUACAGAAACCUUCCCCACAAGUAUGAGGCCGUGAACAUUCAUCAAAAUCAAUGCAGUCAGUUCCAUCUUCACUGGCCAUGAAUCCAGCUUGGCAAAUACAUAGGAAACUUCCUUCAGUAUUUUCACAGCGUCCAAGGGAACAGAGAUGAGGUGUCUGAUUACACUCAUUAAUAUCAGAGCAUUUUGUCUGCUGAUCGUUAAGUCUGUAUCCCUCGUAGCAGAUGCAGGUGUAUCCCACAGGCAAAUUAACGCAGUGUCCUGCUCCACAGAUAUCAG
rnacentral:lncRNA from 1 species